GACGAACGCUGGCGGCGUGCUUAACACAUGCAAGUCGAACGGUGAAGCGAGUGCUUGCACUCGUGGAUCAGUGGCGAACGGGUGAGUAACACGUGAGUAACCUGCCCCUCACUCUGGGAUAAGCACUGGAAACGGUGUCUAAUACUGGAUACGACCAACCCUUGCAUGGGGUGUUGGUGGAAAGAUUUAUCGGUGAUGGAUGGACUCGCGGCCUAUCAGCUUGUUGGCGGGGUCAUGGCCCACCAAGGCGACGACGGGUAGCCGGCCUGAGAGGGUGACCGGCCACACUGGGACUGAGACACGGCCCAGACUCCUACGGGAGGCAGCAGGGGGGAAUAUUGCACAAUGGGCGAAAGCCGGAUGCAGCGACGCCGCGUGAGGGAUGACGGCCUUCGGGUUGUAAACCUCUUUCAGCAGGGAAGAAGCGAAAGUGACGGUACCUGCAGAAGAAGCACCGGCUAACUACGUG
rnacentral:rRNA from 1 species